rnacentral:rRNA from 1 species
CUGGCGGCGUGCCUAACACAUGCAAGUCGAGCGGGGACAUACGACGGACCAAAGUUUCGGAUGGAGGUGAAGAUGUAUGUUCUAGCGGCGGACGGGUGAGUAACGCGUGAGCAACCUGUCCCUUACAGGGGGAUAACACAGCGAAAGUUGUACUAAUACCGCAUGAGACCACGGGGAGACAUCUUUCUGAGGUCAAAGGAGCAAUCCGGUAAGGGGUGGGCUCGCGUCCGAUUAGAUAGUUGGUGAGGUAACGGCCCACCAAGUCGACGAUCGGUAGCCGACCUGAGAGGGUGAUCGGCCACAUUGGGACUGAGACACGGCCCAAACUCCUACGGGAGGCAGCAGUGGGGAAUAUUGGGCAAAAUGGGGGGAACCCUGACCCAGCAACGCCGCGUGAGGGAAGAAGGUUUUCGGAUCGUAAACCUCUGUCCUUGGUGAAGAGUAAGAGACGGUAGCCAAGGAGGAAGCCCCGGCUAACUACGUGCCAGCCGCCGC